AGAGUUUGAUCCUGGCUCAGGAUGAACGCUAGCGACAGGCUUAACACAUGCAAGUCGAGGGGCAGCGGGGGCGAAGCUUGCUUCGCCUGCCGGCGACCGGCGCACGGGUGAGUUACACGUAUGCGACCUGCCCCCCGCAGGGGGAUAACCGGGAGAAAUCCCGACUAAUACCGCGUAACGCCGCGGGGCUGCAUGGCCCCGCGGCCAAAGGAAGCGAUUCCGGCGGGGGAUGGGCAUGCGGCGCAUUAGCUAGUCGGCGGGGUAACGGCCCACCGAGGCGACGAUGCGUAGGGGUUCUGAGAGGAAGGUACCCCACACUGGUACUGAGACACGGACCAGACUCCUACGGGAGGCAGCAGUGAGGAAUAUUGGUCAAUGGGCGGGAGCCUGAACCAGCCAAGUCGCGUGAGGGAAGACGGUCCUACGGAUUGUAAACCUCUUUUGCCGGGGAGCAACGGGGUCCUUGCGAGGGCCCUAUGAGAGUACCCGGAGAAAAAGCAUCGGCUAACUCCGUGCCAGCAGCCGCGGUAAUACGGAGGAUGCGAGCGUUAUCCGGAUUUAUUGGGUUUAAAGGGUGCGUAGGCGGGCUGUUAAGUCAGCGGUCAAAUGUCGGGGCUCAACCCCGGCCUGCCGUUGAAACUGGCGGCCUCGAGUGGGCGAGAAGUAUGCGGAAUGCGUGGUGUAGCGGUGAAAUGCAUAGAUAUCACGCAGAACUCCGAUUGCGAAGGCAGCAUACCGGCGCCCUACUGACGCUGAGGCACGAAAGCGUGGGUAUCGAACAAGAUUAGAUACCCUGGUAGUCCACGCAGUAAAGGACGUAACUGGCUGUCCGGUUCUACGGGAAUGGGUGGCACAGCGAAAGAGUUAAGCAUUCCACCUGGGGAGUACGCCGGCAACGGUGAAACUCAAAGGAAUUGACGGGGGCCCGCACAAGCGGAGGAACAUGUGGUUUAAUUCGAUGAUACGCGAGGAACCUUACCCGGGCUCAAACGCCAAAGGACAGCCGCUGAAAGGCGGCCUCCCUCCGGGGUCUUUGGCGAGGUGCUGCAUGGUUGUCGUCAGCUCGUGCCGUGAGGUGUCGGCUUAAGUGCCAUAACGAGCGCAACCCCCAUCGACAGUUGCUAACGGGUAGAGCCGAGGACUCUGUCGAGACUGCCGGCGCAAGCUGCGAGGAAGGCGGGGAUGACGUCAAAUCAGCACGGCCCUUACGUCCGGGGCGACACACGCGUUACAAUGGCCGGUACAGCGGGAUGCCAGGGCGCGAGCCCGAGCGGAACCCGAAAACCGGUCUCAGUUCGGAUUGGAGUCUGCAACCCGACUCCAUGAAGCUGGAUUCGCUAGUAAUCGCGCAUCAGCCACGGCGCGGUGAAUACGAACCCGGGCCUUGCACACACCGCCCGUCA
rnacentral:rRNA from 1 species